GCGUGCCUACCCCGGAACUCCGGAGCGGGCCCUACUGGACGCUUGCUACGCACCGCCUCCUGCCGGCGUCCCUCGGGGUCCUAGAGGGUGCGGAGCAGUACACUCUUGAGCUUCGACGGGCGCCUGGGGAGGUCCAGUUCGGUGAGAUGGCUGCGAGUGACACCUACGCAAAUCCCGGAAGGGACUGACCGGCAAUCCCCGAGAGCGCAAGGACAGCUAUUUCCCACUGUUGAAACAGGAAAUGGGGCGGUGAUCUGGAUGAUUCUGAGUGGGAUGGUAGCAAAACUGUCUCUGUACGGUUAAAAUAACCCAGUUGCAAAAUAGGGAAGACUGCAACCCAGCAAUGAUGAUAAUGUUACCAAGACAAGAAGUCUCUCAAGUGAGAAAAAUGUCUCAAGUGAGAAAUAUUUAAGCCGUGUUAGCUAAAGGUUCGAGAUACUCAAAACAUAAAGCAUUCAAAGAAAACUUUAGAUGGAAAGUAAAUUCCUCCUACAUGAAUUGUUUCGUGAAUUAUAAGCUUUCUCGGAGAAAAAAUUUGCAGAUAGAAUAUAGCUGAGCCUCAUAGGAGCUGGCUUGGUUCUUCAGGCACCUGCCUCCAUGUAAGUUGGGACCCAGCCUCGCUGCCUGAUACCCAAGCCAGUGGCUAGGACCUUGUUUGUCACUGCACAUUCAGACCUCCAGGCCUGCCCGGGUCUCCUACCACUGUCACCAUGCUCCUGGAUCUUGUCUCGCCGAUUUGGAUGCGUGUCUGUUGUCAUCCUGUCUUUCCUACUUGGCAAUUCUGUUCCAACACACAGAUCUGAUGUGCCAGAAUUUAAGCUCUGCCUCCAUCUACACUGAAGGCCAACAGUCCUAUACAUAAGUUUAUGUAAAAACAAGGCCUUUUAAAAGUGAACUUCUGAUAGUAUUAUCUGGAAUUGUGCUUAGUGCUAUAGCCAUCUAAAUUAGCAGGUGAUAUCAUAGAACCUAAUUGUACAACCUCACAAUGCCUUGUCUGUCCAGCCUAAGGUUAAUCAGCAAGGCACAAUAAAAAGAU